rnacentral:rRNA from 1 species
UACGUAGGGGGCAAGCGUUGUCCGGAAUCAUUGGGCGUAAAGAGCGUGUAGGCGGCCCGAUAAGUCCGCCGUGAAAGUCCAGGGCUCAACCCUGGAAUGCCGGUGGAAACUGUCGGGCUGGAGUCCGGAAGAGGCGAGUGGAAUUCCUGGUGUAGCGGUGAAAUGCGCAGAUAUCAGGAGGAACACCAAUGGCGAAGGCAGCUCGCUGGGACGGUACUGACGCUGAGACGCGAAAGCGUGGGGAGCAAACAAG